UAUUUUGACUAUACGAAGGUAUUGAAAUAAGAUUUUAAAUGAGUGCUAAGAGAAUGAUUUAACAAUUAAAGGCUUUCUUUAAUUUAAUAAUUGAAUUUAAUUUUUUAGUGCAAAAGCAAAAAUUAUAAUUAGGGACAAGAAGACCCUAUGAAUUUUUAUUUUUUAAUAAUAAGAUUAUUAUUAAAAAAUUUAAUUGGGGUGAUGGAAAAAGAAUAAAUAUCUUUUUGGUAUAUAAAAAUUAGUUCCGUUUUUAACGAUUUUAUGAAAAAAAUACUCUAGGGAUAACAGCGUAAUAAUUUUGGAUAGUUCAUAUAGAUAAAAUAGUUUGCGACCUCGAUGUUGGAUUAGGAUUCUUUUUCGGUGAAGAAGUUGAGAAGAAGAAGUUUGUUCAACUUUUAAUUU
rnacentral:rRNA from 1 species